rnacentral:tRNA from 1 species
GGCUUUUUAGUUUAGUUUAAAAUAUUGAAUUGCAAAUUCAAAGAUACACAUGAGUGUUUAAGCUU